rnacentral:lncRNA from 1 species
UGGACUUACUUUAUUAUAUGUUAUAGACAUGUAAUUACAUAUUUUGUAUAGUUGACCACACAGAAACAGGCACUUAGGUCUCCGUCCCUCUAGCCAUUUCUCAACCGUCUCGACCGGCGAGUUUUCGUUGAGGCGAGGGAGCGCUCGCUCCCACAGGUUCGAGGGCUGGGCGGAGCCUUGGGAAACGGGCCCUGGUAAUCUCCGCUCAGUGAGUGGCGCUGCGAAGCUGCUUCUGCCCGGGAAGGAGGAGAGGGGCCUGGAACCGCCGAGGGAACCACCAGUUCCGACGCCCUGGGGAACUUAAAAGAGGAACCAGGUGUACAGGCAGAACAUGAAAGUGGAAAGGAGCGUGGCCACUGAAGCACAGCACCACAGGGAGGGGUUUAGUCCUCCAGAUGACUGCGAGCAGGGCUGGAUAAUGUCAGACCUCCCACUAGAGCUGGUGGAGCAGAGUGUUCUCUAACUUCCCCCAAGGAAAGGGAAACUCCCUUUCCCGGUCCGCUAAGUAACGGGUGCCUUCCCAGGCACUGGCGCUACCGCUAGACCAAGGUGUCCUCAAGCGGCCUUUAUCAGGAUGUGAUAGAGGACUUUCACUCUUAUCUUCUGCUCACUUCUCACAAUGUCCCUUCAGCUCCUGACUCUGUAUUGGCUGGUCUUUCCUCGGUUAUAAUAAUAAUACAGAGAUUAAUACUAAAAACUAAUGAUUGAUAAUAUCCAUAUAUAAUCAUCUCUAUAUCCUAUUUCUUUUUCUUUUUUUUUUUUUUUUUGACAUGGAGUUUCACUCUGUCGCCCAGGCUGGAGUGCAGUGGCGUGAUCUCAGCUCACUGCAAGCUCCACCUCCUGGAUUCAUACCAUUCUCUCGCCUCAGCCUCCUGAGUAGCUGGGACUACAGGCGCCUGCCACCAUGCCUAGCUAAUUUUUUGUUUUUGUAUUUUUAGUAGAGACAGGGUUUCACCCUGUUAGCCAGGAUGGUCUCAAUCUCCUGACCUCGUGAUCCGCCCACCUUGGCCUCCCAAAGUGCUGGGAGCCACUGCAUCCAGCUCUAUUUCCUACUUCUAAUAUAACUUUUCUUAUUCUAACUAUUUUCUUUACUAUAUUGGAACAGGUUGUGCCCUCAGUCUCUUGCCUCAGCACCUGGGUAGGUUUCCGCCUACAUGUAACCAGUGACUUCAAAUAUUCUGUUUUAUCUAAGAAGUACAACGAAGGUCAUGAGAAGCCUGAGUAGGCCUGAACUACAGCUGCCUGGGCACCAUAGUGAAGGUUAUAGGAUAAGCCCAUGCCCAGACAAACCUAGAUAACGGACAUCUGGGUUACUUGGCAACAGUCAUGUGCAAUCCUGUCUUUGUCCUGCCUCUGUAUUGCUGCUUUUCACACCACUGUAAGCUUGCUUCAAGCUAGCCCACCACCUUCUGUGAAGUAUGUAUAAAAGUCAGAUGCUGUCUUUGUUCCGGGCCCAGUCUUUUGGACGUUGAGUCAGCUGGGCCUGAGUGCACUCAAUAAAGAUUCUAGUUUCAACCUGAGGUCUCUCUCGUCCUCCUGAAUCCUGCAACAUUUCCAGUAGAGACAGGAUUUCACCAUGUUGGCCAGACUGGCCUCAAACGCCUGACAUCAAGUGAUCUGCCCACCUCUACCUCUCAAAGUGCUGGGAUUACAUGCGUGAGCCACCAUGCUCUACCGUUUUCUUCCCUUUUUAAACAGAAUAAAACUCAUUAUGUCUUGCAAUGACCAUAUAGAUCUAUUGGUAGGCCCUCUUAUAACCUGUCAGCACCAUCCAGCCAAAGGCCACCAGGAACACACCUGUCAUGACAUGAGUUAGCUUUGAGGGAGAACGUUUUGCAUGCCACGGGGAACUGUGGGGCAAAUAAGUAAGAGGGUGUCAGGGAUGGUUUAUUACAGGAUUUGGGCAUGUGUUAGGUGGUUUGAGGAGUCCUUUCUCUGGGAUGCUCUCAGGAAGUGGGGGUAAUUCUAUGAUUGAGGAUCUUAACAAAUUUCACCAAGAAGGAGGGAAGAGUAGAGGAAGGCCAAAGCCGUAAUUGGCUAAAGUAGCAGCAGUCGAUCCUAUUAGCCAGGACAUGGGGUAUGGCCUGGCUGUGAAUCCCAGACCCACUUCUGGUUCUGCUUUUCUCUUUCCAAAAAUCCAAGACAUAUUGUGGGAUCUUAGCGGUCUUACUUCUUCUGCAUCUUGAAAUGAUUUGCUAUUUCAUCAUCCUGGGAAAUCUUCUGUAGUUAAUUCAUUGAUUCCCAAAAAUGACUUAAGAGUCUUCAAGAGGCCAGGCACGGUGGCUUAUGCCUUAAUCCCAGCACUUUGGGAGGCCGAGGCGGGCGGAUCAUGAGGUCAGGAGUUUGAGACCAGCCUGGCCAACAUAGUGAAACUGUGUCUCUACUAAAAAUACAAAAAUUAGCCGGGCAUGGUGGUGCAUGCCUAUAAUCCCAGCUACUCAGGAGGCUGAGGCAGGAGAAUCGCUUGAAUCUGAGAGGCGGAGGUUGCAGUGAGAGGAUUGUGCCACUGCACUGCAGCCUGGGUGACAGAUUGAGACUCUCUCAAAAAAAAAAAAAAAAAAAAAGAGGUGUAAGAAUUAAAGAGGAAAGAAACAUGAAAGGGGAUGGGCAGUGGGGAAGUGGAGUAACAUGUACCACAGAGUAACAGAGGGAGGGGUGGUAGAAGGUGAUUGGAGAGUGUGACCCUGGAAGUGGAUGGUGGAUGGCGUUAUGGCAUCAGCAAUGACAAGAUCUAGACUUAGACCAGGGAAGUGAGUGGCUGGGGUACGUAAGGCCUAGGUCAAGGAACUGGGGAACUGGGUGUCAACUGAUGACAGGAGUUAUGUUGGAAAGUGAGCCAGGAGCUAAAACCUUCAAGGAAUAAGUAAGUGUUGGCAUGAGUGUGACUGGCCACCAGGACAGAUGACAGCAAUAAAGGGAGGUAGUGGGCAGUAUGGGUACAAGGCACAAUGGAAUGAGGGGUGGGGAGAACCAACAGAGAAAGGAAAGCAAUCAAUGUCCUUAGUGGAGGAUAAAGCGAAAGAAGAAAGGAGGCUGGGAAUAGGGAGGACAGCAGGAAAAUGAGCAAGGUUUCAGGAAUCAGACACGGGAUAAGAGAUGAAGCUUCUUGUGCCUGACCCACACAGAGCAGAAAUGCAGAACUUCAGGGUCAUUCUACAGUGAGUGGCAGAUACAUGGAAGACAGCUGCAGCAUUAGUUCUUUGCACUCACUACCUGGGGGAUGUCACCUCUGUCCAAGUAUAAUGCCCAGGGGGUUCUCCUUGCCUGCUGCCUAAACAGAGCUGAUUCAUCAGAACAGGGGAAUUGCAAUAGAGAAAGAGUAAUUUGGCUGGGUGCAGUGGCUCACACCUGUAAUCCCAGCACUUUGGGAGGCCAAGGCAGGUGAAUCACCUAAGGUCAGGAGUUUGAGACCAACCUGGCCAACACAGUGAAACCCUGUCUGUACUAAAAAUACCAAAAAUUAGCCGGGCGUGGUGGCACGUGCCUAUAAUCCCAGCUAUUGGGGAGGCUGAGGCAGGAGAAUCGCUUGAACCUGAGAGGCGGAGGAUGCUGUGAGCCAAGAUCCUGCCAUUGCACUCCAGCCUGGGCAACGAAAGUGAAACUCCAUCUCAAAAAAGAAAGAGUAAUUCACGCAGGGCUGGCUGUGUGGGAGACCGGAGUUUUAUUAUUACCCAAAUCAGUCUACC